rfam:Hordeum vulgare subsp. vulgare, WGS project CAJW01000000 data, contig: morex_contig_1561212
CUAGUACUCCCUCCAUCUCAUAAUUCUUGUCUUAACUUUAUCUAUAAAUAAAUGUAUCUAAAUACUAAAAUUUGACUAGAUACAUUCAUAUCUANNNNNAUCUAAGACAAGAAUUUUGAAACGGAUGAAGUAUUCA